GGAGAGGUGGCUCAGAGGUUCUGAGCACUGGCUGCUUUUCCAGAGGACCAGGGUUCAAUUCCCAGCACCUACA
rnacentral:tRNA from 1 species